UUUGUACUCCCUCCGUCCGAAAAUUCUUGUCUUAAAUUUGUCUAAAUAUGGAUGUAUCUAGUUACAUUUUAGUGUUAGAUACAUCCGUAUCUAAACAAAUGUAAGACAAGAAUUUUGGGACGGAGGGAGUACUAC
rnacentral:pre_miRNA from 1 species